rnacentral:rRNA from 1 species
UACGGGGGGGGGCAAGCGUUGUUCGGAAUUACUGGGCGUAAAGGGCGCGUAGGCGGCCAGACCAAGUCGAGUGUGAAAUUGCAGGGCUUAACUUUGCAGGGUCGCUCGAUACUGGUCGGCUAGAGUGUGGAAGAGGGUGCUGGAAUUCCCGGUGUAGCGGUGAAAUGCGCAGAUAUCAGGAGGAACACCGGUGGCGAAGGCGGGUCUCUGGGCCAUAACUGACGCUGAGGAGCGAAAGCGUGGGGAGCGAACAGG